rnacentral:rRNA from 1 species
CUUUGAGUCGUAAACAAAGUUCAGCAGGGAAGCGUCAUGGUAGUUCCUGCAGAAGUAGCCCUGGCUUAAUUCGUUCCCGCAACCGCGGUUAUUCGUAGGGAUCGAACGUUAUCCGGAUUCAUUGGGGGUAAAGCGGGGGUAGGCGGCCCGGCAGACUGGGGGUGUGAAACUGGGGGCUCAACCCCCCGAAGCCCCCGGAACCUCCGCGGUUUGGGUCCGGUAGGGGAGGGUGGAACUCCCGGUGUAGCGGUGGAAUGCGCAGAUAUUGGGUGGAACACCGGUGGCGAAGGCGGCCCUCUGGGCCGAGACCGACGGUGAGGCGUGAAAGCUGGGGGAGUCAAAAAGAUUAGAUUCCCUGGUAGUCCCACCCGUAAACCCCUUAAUCGAGGUGUGGGGGGACGAUCCCCCCGGGCAGCAGCCAACAGCAUUAAGCUGUCCCGCGUGGGGAGUACGGCCGCAAGGCUAAAACUCAAAGGAAUUGGGGGGGGCCCGCACAAGCAGCGGACGCAUGUGGCUUAAUUGGAAGCAACGCGAAGCACCUUCCCAGGGCUUGACAUAUGGGUGAAGCGGGGGAGACCCUGUGGCCGAGAGGAGCCCAUACAGGUGGUGCAUGGCUGUCGUCAGCUCGUGUCGUGAGAUGUUGGGUUAAGUCCCGCAACGAGCGCAACCCCCGCCGCGUGUUGCCAUCGGGUGAUGCCGGGAACCCACGCGGGACCGCCGCCGUCAAGGCGGAGGAGGGCGGGGACGACGUCAAGUCAUCAUGCCCCUUAUGCCCUGGGCUGCACACGUGCUACAAUGGCCGGUACAGAGGGAUGCCACCCCGCGAGGGGGAGCGGAUCCCGGAAAGCCGGCCCCAGUUCGGAUCGUAGGCUGCAACCCGCCUACGUGAAGUUGGAAUUGCUAGUAAUCGCGGAUCAGCAUGCCGCGGUGAAUACGUUCCCGGGCCUUGCACACACCGCCCGUCA